rnacentral:rRNA from 1 species
UACGAAGGGGGCUAGCGUUGCUCGGAAUUACUGGGCGUAAAGGGCGCGUAGGCGGAUGUUUAAGUCAGAGGUGAAAGCCCAGGGCUCAACCUUGGAACUGCCUUUGAUACUGGACAUCUUGAGUGUGGGAGAGGUGAGUGGAACUCCGAGUGUAGAGGUGAAAUGCGUAGAUAUUCGGAAGAACACCAGUGGCGAAGGCGACUUACUGGACACAUAUUGACGCUGAGGUGCGAAAGCGUGGGGAGCAAACAGG